rnacentral:rRNA from 1 species
GAUGAACGCUGGCGGCGUGCCUAAUACAUGCAAGUCGAGCGAACGGACGAGAAGCUUGCUUCUCUGAUGUUAGCGGCGGACGGGUGAGUAACACGUGGAUAACCUACCUAUAAGACUGGGAUAACUUCGGGAAACCGGAGCUAAUACCGGAUAAUAUUUUGAACCGCAUGGUUCAAAAGUGAAAGACGGUCUUGCUGUCACUUAUCGAUGGAUCCGCGCUGCAUUAGCUAGUUGGUAAGGUAACGGCUUACCAAGGCAACGAUGCAUAGCCGACCUGAGAGGGUGAUCGGCCACACUGGAACUGAGACACGGUCCAGACUCCUACGGGAGGCAGCAGUAGGGAAUCUUCCGCAAAGGGCGAAAGCCUGACGGAGCAACGCCGCGUGAGUGAUGAAGGUCUUCGGAUCGUGAAACUCUGUUAUUAGGGAAGAACAUAUGUGUAAGUAACUGUGCACAUCUUGACGGUACCUAAUCAGAAAGCCACGGCUAACUACGUG